rnacentral:rRNA from 1 species
CGGCGGACGGGUGAGUAACGCGUGGGUAACCUGCCUCAUACAGGGGGAUAACAGUUAGAAAUGACUGCUAAUACCGCAUAAGACCACAGCACCGCAUGGUGCGGGGGUAAAAACUCCGGUGGUAUGAGAUGGACCCGCGUCUGAUUAGCUAGUUGGUAAGGUAACGGCUUACCAAGGCGACGAUCAGUAGCCGGCCUGAGAGGGUGAACGGCCACAUUGGGACUGAGACACGGCCCAA